rnacentral:rRNA from 1 species
AUGGCUGCUCCUGUUAUUGCUGACCUGCACAAGCCCCGGCCUUACACCCCCAGCCUCUGGGGCGACUUCUUCCUCAACCACAGUCCAUGCACUCCAUCACAGUAUUCGGCUAUGAAGGACAUGGCGAGUAUCAGAAAGGAGCGGGUGAGAAAGAUCAUCUUGGCCGCCAUAUCUUCUUCUGAUUUACCUAUGAAGCUGGAGCUUGUCGACACGCUGCAACGAACCGGUGUGGCCUAUCACUUUGGCAAAGAGAUCCAAGAGUUACUAUGUGGCAUGCAAGGUGACGAACAAGGCUUUGGUGACGACCUCCACAUAACCGCGUCGCGGUUCUAUUUGUUGAGGAAGCAUGGGUACCACGUCUCUCCUGAUGUGUUUCUGAAGUUCAGAGAUGACCGAGGAAACUUUGCAAGCAAUGAUGUGAACUCAUUGUUGGCACUGUACAACGCGGCAUAUCUUAGGACUCGUGGGGAAGAAGUGUUGGACGACGCUAUUAUUUUCACCAAGAGCCGUCUACAAUGCAUGUUAGAACUUCUAGAACCGUGGUUGGCAGAAGAGGUCCGGUGUACACUGGAGACACCCAGUUUCAGGAGAGUUGAGAGAGUGGAAACUAGGCGUUACAUCCCGGUGUAUGAGAAGAAGUCAACAGGAGAUGAAGACAUAUUGGAGUUUGCUAAGUUUGACUUCAACAUUUUGCAAACACUCUAUUGUGAGGAGUUGAAAGCUCUUACCAUUUGGUGGAAAGGCUUCAAAUCACAAAUGGAUAUAAAAUUUGCACGAGACAGAAUGGUGGAGCUACACUUUUGGAUACUUGGAGUUGUCUAUGAGCCACAAUAUUCCUAUUCACGUGUAAUGUUGACAAAACUGCUCAUAUUUGUGUCAUUAUUUGAUGACUUCUAUGACAACUAUAGCACCACAGAAGAAAGCAACAUCUUCACCGCAGCCAUGGAAAGGUGGGGUGAACAAGCUGCAGAGAAUUUACCAGCAAACUUGAAGGCAUUGUACAUCAACAUACUUAACACUACAAAUGAUAUCGAGGAAGAGUUAAAGCAUCAGAAAAAUAAGAAUGCUGAAUUGGUAAAAGAUUUUGUAAUCCACGUGGCCAAAUGCUAUCACGCUGAGGUGAAAUGGCGUGACGAACACUACGUACCAACUAGUGUUGAAGAGCAUCUGCAAAUUUCAGUGCGCAGCAGUGCUUGUAUGCAAAUAAUAAGCUUUGUAUUUAUUUUCAUGGGUGAUGUGACUACAAGAGAGGUUCUUGAGUGGGCUUUAACCUAUCCAAAAAUUAUCAGAUCUGUAUGCAUUGUUGGGCGCAUUGGCAAUGACAUGGUGUCACAUGAGCGUGAACAAAUAUCACAACAUGUGAUAUCCACGGUGCAAACUUGUACAAAAGAGCACGAGAUAACAGUAGCAGAAGCCAAUGAGAAGCUCAAGGUGAUAAUUGAAGAAGCAUGGAUGGACAUAGUCCGCGAAUGCCUCCACAAAAAACAGCCAAUGGUGCUUCUAGAGAAGGCAACCGAUCUUGCCCGGACAAUGGAUUUUAUGUACAAGCGUGAAGAUGCGUUUACCCUCCCGUCUAGUCUCAAAGAGACCUUAACUUCACUUUAUGUGAAUUACAUAUGA